GGCGCAGGCUGGAUGGUCGCCUCUGCGUUUUGCAGCAGGGGAGGAAAGUCCGGGCUCCAUAGGGCAGCGUAGCGGGUAACGCCCGCCCGAGGAGUGUUUUACUUUUCGAGGAUCAUCCCUCGCAACCAGUUAUUAAACAAGGGUUGCUCGGGAUCCCGAGCGUCAAGUUUCUCAGAAAUGAGACGCGAGGGAGAGCAACAGAGACGAGUUUGAGGAGCGCAUUAGUAACAUACUAAGCUUAAGCAUGUGUUACUGCUUCUCAAGGUGAAACGCGGCAAUCUCUACGCGGAGCAAGACUAAAUAGGUCCGGCUGAAAGAGCUGCCCGCUCGCAAUAGCCGGACGGGUAGGUCGCAUGAUUCUGGCAGCAAUGCCAGGACAUAGAUAGAUGAUCAUCACCCUUUUUAAAGGGGCCAGAACCCGGCUUACAGGCCUGCGCCUAUA
rnacentral:RNase_P_RNA from 1 species